AGAAAUCUCCUUGUAAAGUGGAGGGUGUUUUGAUCAGGUUUGUAUCUCAUCCUUCUUAUGCUUAAUUAUCUUUAAUUAAUUCAUCUUUGGUUUUUGAUUAAAAAAAAAAAUCCUAUCUUCAAUCUUGCUGGAUUUUUUGAUGUGGCAUAAGAUUUUUGCAAAAGAUUUAAAAAUGUGUAAUUUCUUUGUGAAGUAUUAGGGAAUGUUAAUUAGAGAUGGCGGAGUACAGUCAUAAAAAUUUAAAUAUUAAUUGUAAACUAUUGGGAAAAGAUUUUGAAUUCAGGGGCAAAACUGUACAUGAAACGUUUUUUGAUAGGCAAAGAUCACUUAUACUAAUAGCGCCUGACAAAAAUGUUUGUGUUAGAAGUGUCAACAAUUUGUGGGUGUAGUAUUUUAAUAGAAAUUCAACAUGCUAGAAUAAGAAAAAGGGAAGAGAGCUUUUCUGGUUUACAGAAAAGGAGCUAGGUGUCCAUUGAUACCUCUUUUUUCAUUAGGAUGUUUUUGCUUGGUUAGUGAGGAGGCUAGUGGAAGGUUCAUCAAGGGAUUUAUGAAGAGUUGUGUUUGUAAUUGCUUCCUUAUUUGGGUAUUAGUCUGGUGGAAUGGUCAUCAAGGGUUUUAUGAAGAGUUGUGUUCGUAAUCUCAUCUUUAUUUGGGUACUAGCUUGCAUCCAGAAAUAUAUGAAUCACCUCACUUGAGGAUUAAACCAAGCAGACUGAGUGCAAGAUCUCUACUGGGCUUGGUUUUUAUUGUUAAAAGGUGAUGUGUAGGCAGAGGGAGCAGUUGGUGUCUGUAAGAAGUGUUUCCCUGAAGAUACAGAAAGAAAUGUGACAUGAGCUCGGGGGUCACUAUUCUAUUCAUACAGCCAACCAUUGAACCCAGUUAGCUGUGGGCCUAGACAGGGGAUCUCUAACAAUCUUCUAUUGAUGACCAGCUUUUGUAUAACCUUAAAUUUUUCUUGAAGUUAGCAUGUACCCCUCUCCUGGAAUACUGACCUCAGGGCUUUUUUUUUUUUAAUGGAAAUAGUGAUUCUAUUUCAUGCUUUUCAGUAUAUUUUAAAGCUUAUAAAUAGAUGAUUUAUGGUAAUGUGAUUUACGUAUGUUUGGUUGUCAUUCACCAUUGUAUUUUUGUUAUUAUGGUAUAAAGCUGGUAUGCAAAUUGCCAGGUAGGCCUUGCAUACAGCCUUUUUAGUAUUCUUUUACUGAUCGACCGUUCUUUCCUUUUGUUAGGGAUUGGAUCAACUUCGCUCUGGGCUACUUCAGCAGCCAAAACCUUUCAUCCAAGCUGCUCCUCAGCCCUUUCAUCAGCUCCAGAUGCUACCACAACACCAGCAACAGCUUUUGCUUGCACAACAAAGUUUGACAUCCCCUCCCAGUGAUGAAAGCAGAAGGCUGAGAAUGCUUCUGAAUAAUCGGAAUAUGAAUCUUGGGAAGGACGGUCCUUCAAAUUCCAUUGGUGAUGUUCCAAAUGUUGGCUCACCCCUGCAACCCGGUUGCGCUGUUUUGCCUCGUGGAGAUACUGAGAUGCUAAUGAAGGUGAUCAUCCUCUCUGUCAAUAAUCCUGCUAUCAUCUUAUGGUUUUUGGCUUAUUUGCCUUUUCUCUUAUUUCCUCCUCAUUCCUCUUUCUGUCACUGUUGUCUUGCCAACUAGCUGCACAUUUCAUGACCUUUUUGACUGAAGAAAGUAUCCAUUAUUUGUAGUUAAAAAUGGCCCAAAUGCAUCAUCAGCAGCAACAACAACAGCAGCAGCAACAAAACAGUAAUCAACCACAGCAGCAGCAGCAACAGCAGCUUCAGCAGCAUGCGCUCUCAAGUCAGCAAUCUCAGAGUUCAAAUCACAACAUGCAUCAGCAAGAUAAAAUGGGGGGAGCUGGCAGCAUCACUGUGGAUGGUAGCAUGUCAAAUUCUUUUCGAGGAAAUGAUCAGGUCUGUUCCACGUGGGAGCCUUCUUUGUUCAAUUUCUUUUAAAAAUGACAAUAAUCAGGAAUACAGUAAAUAGCAACAUUUCCUUAAAUGGUAUCACUACCUUUAAAAAUUUUAUGUUUGCUAAAUACAUUUCCGGACUCCAAUUUUUACACUCCAGUGAAUCUCUCUCUCAUUUCCCCUCUCAUUAAUUAGCCAAUUAAUUAACAAUUUGGGAUGUCCUUAUUCCAUAAAUGAGUUUGUUGCGGCUACUAAUUUCUCAUUCCUCUUGGUGUAAUUUACAUUACUUCAAACAGUGACAGUUUUGUGAAUGAUGCAAAGAUUUAGUGGAAGUAGCAGUUCCCUGUAUUUAAUAAUUUUACUCCAAACCAAUCCCAUCUGCCUUUUUAUCACCAGGUUCACUUGCAUUGCCUGUAGUUUACAUGGCAGUUUUGCCCUUCCACUUGAGCACUGAUCAAUUUCUACACUGGAUUGAAAGCAUAAUUUUAACAGCUUAGGUGAUGAAAAGAAUAUAUCAAGGAGAGAAGUGCCGACAUUAAACCUUUUUCUCUCUUUCCCUUCUUAGUUAGGGAGUGGGGUGGGGUAGAAUGAGGGAGGUGGUGUUUCUCAAGUGGUAUUUCAAUCAUGUCAGAGCUGGUCUGGAACAUAACCUUUGUAGGAUUACAUAUUGUUUUCUGAUAGGCUUCUUAGGAUUACAGUUUUGAGUGGGUCCUAAUAUAAUUUUCGUUAAUGCAUUUUAAGGCUUCAAAAAACCAGACUGGAAGAAAGAGAAAGCAGCCUGUUUCAUCUUCUGGUCCAGCCAAUAGCUCAGGAACUGCAAACACAGCAGGACCCUCCCCAAGCUCAGCACCCUCUACACCGUCAACUCACACACCUGGAGAUGUGAUCUCAAUGCCUGCUUUGCCACACAGUGGUAGCUCUUCAAAGCCAUUGAUGAUGUUCAGCACUGAUGGUACUGGAACUCUUACAUCACCGUCAAAUCAGUUGGUGAGCAAAGUCUUUUCCUUCUUGUACUUACAGAAGGGAUUUUUUAUUUACUCGCAUGAAUUCUCAUUGGUAUUCCAUUUUGGCAGUGGGAUGAUAAAGAUCUUGAAUUGCAGGCUGAUAUGGAUCGUUUUGUGGAAGAUGGUUCCCUUGACGAUAAUGUUGAGUCUUUUUUAUCCCAUGAUGAUACAGACCCUAGAGAUACAGUUGGUCGUUGUAUGGAUGUCAGUAAAGGUGAGGUGAUGACUACUUUUUUAUCUGGCCUGCAUUGUGACCAUUUUCCUGAACUUUUUAAAUUUCUUGUGUUGUGUAUGUACUCUGAUUUGGUUGCAUAACAUGGUAUGAGUUUGCAAGUUUAUGUAUUCCAAUUUGGUUGCAUAAGUUGUUAUAGUUUGCAAAUUAUUCACUGAAUUCCUAAUAUCAUAGGUAAUGGCUGUAAUGCUCAAUUAUUUAUAAACCUGCUACUUUAUUUCAGAUUUGUAUUUGUCUUAUAUGCACUCAUUUAUGGCCAGUUAUUCGUCAAUAAUAAUAAGAAUUCAAAUUCCUUUUGAGAAAAUAACAAUAGAUUUUAAAGCAAGCAUGGAAAAGGGUGUGAGUGACUGAGGCCUUAUAAGAAACCUGGGUGUUUUUCCAAAUGUGACUGAAAAAAGAGCUUCUAGCUCCCUCAGUCAUUCCCUCUUCAUUUCUGUACAUAUCAGCAGAACUGUCAAGCUAGUCUCUUCAUUGCUAAGGAGUUUCUUGUAACUAAAAUUUUCACCCUAUAACAACCUCUAUAUGUAAAAAGAAAACAUUGGCGUUCUUAAUUGCUGCUUAUACAUUUCGAUGUUUCUACUACUAUUCAGCUCCCACGAAAAGUAGGCUUCCAAAAUUGGCUAACUAAAAUUUUUAUUGAUUCUCUUCUCCUGAUUGUUGGAUAAUGUCUCAGGAGGCAUUUGAAUAUCAACAUACCUCUUCUCUUUCCUAUUCACCUUGGUUGUGAAUAUUUGAAGCUGAAUCAUUAUAGAGGCUUGAAGCAUGAAUUGAAGCUCUUUCUGUUCUGAGGAAGAAUAUUUUGGUCUCAUAUCCAUUUUGUGAUGAUGGCAUUCUCGUUUCUAAUAUUUGUCCCUAUAAACUGAAAAAACUUAAAAUAGAUUUUUUUUUUAAUUUUAUCUGGGGGUUGAAAACUAAAGCAUCAUUGUUGGUAUUAGACUAAAUAGAUCAAAGCUUGAGAUCUUGGCUUCUACUUUGUAUUGUGCUUUCCGUGGUUAGCCCACAUUUUCACCUUUCCUUUAGGUGUGCUUGAGGUGAUGAUUUGUGCAACUUGGUAGUGGACAGUCAAUGGUGGCUACCUUUUGUGGAUAUUGGUAAUAUUUUUAACUGUUGCUUUGAUUGGAAGAUUUCUUUCGAGAUUUUCAUAUCUGAAAUAUGCAAAAAUGCAGCUGAAUUGUAUGAUCAUCUUUUUCUCCAUUGUAAUAUUCCCUAAUCUUAUCUUUAAUGUCUCGACCUAGUGAGUAUAACUUGGACCCAUUCAAUGUCCCCUUCACUAGAUCAUCUUCUCCUGGCUAUCAUGGUGCUUCUUUGUGAAAGGGGGGCAGUGAAUGUGGUCAUUUGUUAUGUGCUUAGAAGUGGGAAAGGUUGGAUUUUGACAAUUAGUUGGACUUGAUAGGCUUCAUUAUAAAUAAGAUUUCCAUGAUUUGGGCCCCUAUCUCUAAUAUGGGACCAUAUCAGUUUUGUUCUUAGAGAUUGGAACUGUUUUUAGCUUUGCUCAUUGAGUCAUUCUAACUCCUUUUAUCCUUUGAGUUCUUUAAUUUAUGGUUUUGAUAGGUUUUCUUUAUCAAGGGUUUUCAAAAUAAUCUUAUUGUUAAUAGUUAAAGAGCCCAUUGUUCUUUUAUAGGCAAAUGAGAAUUAGUAUUAAUAGCACCUAAGAGGAGAUGUACCAAAUUACACACGAUGUAUAAGAUAGACGCCUAAUUUAAGCGAGAAUAGGUCAACAAAAAGGCACCCUUUCCUUACUUGAAGCUUAGCUAAUCUAUAAGAUCUAUCAUUGACAUUGAUUGGUUCUCUAUGUACGCACUAACUCAAUUCACAAAAGUAUACAUGAAAUCAGAUUUGAUUGCUUGGUCAAAUUACUUAACAUCAUUAAAUAACCUUCUAUUCCAUAACUUGCCAAGAGACUAAAACAAUUACAAUGGAGCAGCUCUCCUAGUUUUUUUUUUUUUUCUGCUUCUUGCCUGCAAAAGACUUGUGCCACCCCAAAAGGUUCUCUUUCACAUAAGAGUGCAUUACCCAAACCUCUCCAAAGAGAGAAUAUCAAUUGCCCCAACAUUCUAGCUUUGGAACAGUGAAGUAGCAGAUGGUCCAUUGUUUCCUCUUCACCUUUGUACAAAAAACACCUAUUUGACAAAUUCCAUCCCCUCCUUUGGGCUGAUCAAGUGUUAGAAUUCUGCCCUAAGUUGCUUCCCAAGUAAAGAAACCUACCUUCAUAGGUGCCCAUGUACUCCACACUACAACCUUUGGGAAAGGCUUUCAAUAUCCCAUUGUUAAACAUGCAUAUAGAGAUCUAACCGAGAAAUUGCGAUGCUUGGUUUCAUUCCUACUCAAUUUGUCUUCCUCUUCCCUUCUAAUUGGCAAGGAAUGGAGUUUCCGUCAUAAGAAAUUCUCAACUUCCACAAGUUCCCAAUCAUUGAAUUUCCCAGAAAAAUUGGGUUUCCAACCACCCCUUCCCCACCUUGCUCCCUCACAUCCGCUACCCAAUCAUUUUUGUCCAAAGCUAUAGAGAAUAAAGUCAGGAAGGCUCAUUCCAAGGGUAAAUUAUCACACCAAAUAUCAUUUCAAAAUUUUACCCUUUUCCCAUUCCCAACUUUGGAAUGAUACCUGCUUUUAAUAACCUCCCACCCUUUUCUAAUAGCUUUCCUAUUGUGAUUUGCAUCUAUAAGGACUUUCUUUUUAUUGCAAAUCUCCAACUCCACUUACCAAGCAAAUCCUUAUUUAAAAUGGAUUAAAGAGCUCACCUGUAUUUGAUUUAAAAUUGUUUAGUUUGAUGAUAUCUCUUUGUGUGCCCUUCCCAUGUGGGACAAAUGGACAAUUUCUAAAGCACUUUAAGCAUUAUCUUCUCUGAAAAGAACAUCCAUCUUGGUUUUCUGAAAACAAGAAAACACAAUUGUUAUGGAAGUCUCCAAUUUUCUUUGGCUAACCCAGGUCACCUUGGCAAUAUUGGUUCCCUUCAGAAUUUUACUAUGCUAAUAAAGAAGAAUCAUGAGCAUUUUUCUUGUGUCAAUGGGAAGCUUUCAAGCUUAUAGUUUGUAUUUUUUAUUGUGGAAGGUGACAUUUCCAACAUCAUCUAGUGGAGUAAAGAUUGUACUGUAAAAGCUUGUAGACUCUCUGUCCUUUUGAAUAAGCUGUAGGUAUUCCUAACUUCUUGGAUGUUUCUUAUCCAUGGGUUUCUGAGUCUGCUUAUUGUGAACUUAAUUUUAAUACUGAUAGUGGAGCUGUGACUUUUUAAUUUGUGGGAGCUUGAUGUUACCCUAGUUUAUUGUUCUAAUAGUUUUCAUUCUUUUAUUCUAUUUUUUCUGCUUUUUAUUGGCCUUAUCUCUUUGAGGAUUUUUUUUCCUUCUUUAAUCUUCUUCUCUUAGACCUUGUCUUUGUAUUUUUAUCUUCCUGUUAAUAAGUUUAGUUGCCCAAUUCAACAAUUGGCUGCUAUGUUUAUAGGCAUUUUAACUUUGUUUGAUAUGCCCCACUUUUUACUCUCAGAAUCUGGGAUAGAUAAUCUCUGCAAGAUAUUAAGCACUUUAGUUCACUUUCUAAAAAAAUGGUUGAUUUUGGUAUUUUAAAUUCAUUAACUUUCAGUAGCUGCUUAUAUGUUGUGAGAUUGCUCUAAAAAUCUUACCCCUUCUAAAUAGUCCUCAGCAUCUAGUUGUACAUAAAAUAUUUCUUUAAAGUUCAAAUUGCAUAAUUUGUUUCCAUUAAUAUUUAUCCACUGUAAUAAAUUAUUAUUAUUAUGUCAUUAUUUACCUACUAGAGAUGCACUUUUUUAUUUUUUAAAUAAAAUAAAAAAUGAAAUAUUCCAUCUAUAUUUGUUUUGGUUUUUUUCUUGCAAUACCAGUUCCCCGCCAUGACAGGCACAACCGUAAAGUAAGAUACUUUUAGGAAACAAUUAUGAAUUAGUAAUGGAUGAAAUUUCACAUUUGUGCUUGUAGAUAGUGCAAUUCUCUCUCUUAUAAAAUUUGAAAUAUGGUGUUUGCAUUUUAUUUCAGGGUUUACAUUUACGGAAGUCAGCUCCGUUAGAGCGAGUGCAAGUAAAGUUAUCUGUUGCCACUUCUCAUCAGAUGGAAAACUGCUUGCUAGUGGUGGCCAUGAUAAAAAGGUAAGUGCCAAGAGGAUUAAAGUAUCCUAUAUUAUUAAAAGUGAAUGUUGAAGAGCACUAAACAUGUGAUGAAGGGGGAGCUCAAAUGCUUCAUCGUGUUGCAUAGUUAGGAUCAUAGAAGAAUAACUGAACUAGUUUUCUUAAUGGUCUUAAAUGCAGGCAGUAUUGUGGUAUACAGACACUUUAAAGACAAAAACUACACUUGAAGAACAUUCAAUGUUAAUCACUGAUGUCCGUUUCAGUCCGAGCAUGCCGCGUCUUGCAACAUCUUCAUUUGACAAAACCGUCAGGGUUUGGGAUGCUGACAGUGUCAGUGGACUAGUUCUUCUUUUUGUAGUUCUGUGUGUUUUCUUUGGUUUUCUAAUGUUAGUGUUUUUGUAAGAAUAUUUUGCUUCUGAAUGUUCUGUCUGGAGCAUUGGUUUAUUGGAGUUGACCUGGUUACAUCUAGGAUUAUAUUGACCUAUCAAGUUUGUCAACUUGGUGGUGUUUGAUUACUCAUUUAUUGUACUGUUUUUGUGAGAGAAUGCAUUUUACAUAUUUAUAUUAGAAAGUUGGUUGCUUGAAGAUAACAAAAUUGAAACUGUGCAUGUUUUUGGCUGUUUGUUUGUAAUCCAUGACUUCUAAACUGUGAUUGUUUUCCUGUUGGUGGUGGAGUUCCCUAGUUUAGUUUGUCAACAAUGAAUAGAAAAAAGAGAGAAGGGCUGUUAGGAGAGAGGAGUUUUCUUUGUGCCCACAAAAAAUGAUCGCCUUAAAAGAUUGAGGUGAUUUGGUGAGAAGAAAGAGAGAUUAAGCACCACUUUCCUACACUGGAUUUAUUUUUAUUUUUUUACAAAGGAGCCUAGUGUGGUUCAUUAUUCUAUUUCUUUUUUCCUUCUCUGUCCAUUUUCUGUUUAUGUGAAGUGCUUGAAUUUUCUCCUUUUCUCUCAUCUUUAAGUGGUGGGAAAAAAAAAGAUUACUAGUUUUUGAUAGGAACAUGUUUUUCUUUUACAUCUUUUUUGUGUUUUGGGGUUGAGAUUGUUUGAAGAAUAAUGCAUCCUUCAGUUUGUACUGUUACAUUUAUUCCUGUCAAAUCAAUUGUUUGUUUCAAUCACAAAAGGAAAAAAAUGGUAAAAUUUAGUAUAUUGCACCAUACAAUUGCCAUAUAAAUGAAGAUGGGGGCAUUUUCCUCUGUUGUUGCCUUGUAGCUCAAAUAGUGUUUUCUUGCUUUCCAAUAUAUGUUGGGAUGUUUGCAAUGCUGUGGGGUGGUGUUCUGCAUCAUGCAGCAAUGCAAAUGAUCAAGAUGAUACUUGCCAGAUUAGCGCUUUCAUUUUUUGAUGCAUUUACAGAUGAACAAUGAAUACCUAGCGUAUAUUUUGGUCGGUAAUAGUUAGUGAAUCAGGCUGAUGCUGUGAUAUAUCACCUUUAGAAAAGAUACGGGAAAUAUUUACAAUAAGAUUUCUAACAUGUAUUAUUUCCCCUACUUUUAAAACUUAUGAUAGCUUAGCCAAGGGAUUGGCCGUGAUGGACGUGUAAUGCUAUUACAAAAAGUGAUUAUUUCCCACUCCUUUACCAAGUUCUAGGGAUAAUUAUUGACGCAUGCUAAUUGUACACAUCUAGCAUCCUUGGGUGGUGCACCCUCUAUCAUACAUUUGCCCAGAAAAAAAAAAGAAAAAAGAAAGAAAAAUCACCUUCGCUGCUUUCAUGAACUGGCAUUUCUUCAUUAAUGAAAUAUAUUGGGGACUUUACAUUGUCCUCUUAGUUGUGCAGCUUGUGCCACAACAUCAACUUGAUUGCGAAACCUCCCAAUUCUAUCAGUUAUCAAUUUAAUGUUUUUAAUGAUAAAAUAAAUAGAUUAUAUAUAUAUGUAUGGUAAUAGGCACAUGUUAAGGGUACCAUACCUGUGUGCUUGUAUGUAUGGGUGCACAGGUAUGUGGACAUAUGAGUGUGUGUACUGUUUCACUAAGAAAUAGAUCUGCAUAUAAUUU
rnacentral:lncRNA from 1 species